rnacentral:rRNA from 1 species
AGUGAACGCUGGCGGCGUGCUUAACACAUGCAAGUCGAACGAGAACGGAAUAUAGCUUGCUAUAUUUGUCAGCUAAGUGGCGCACGGGUGAGUAAUGUAUAGAUAACCUGCCCUUAAGAAAGGAAUAACAGUUGGAAACGACUGCUGAUGCCCUAUAUGCCUUUAAUACAUAAGUAUGCAAGGGAAACGCUUUAGUGCUUAAGGAUGGGUCUGUAUGGUAUCAGCUUGUUGGUGAGGUAAUGGCUCACCAAGGCUAUGACGCCUAACUGGUUUGAGAGGAUGAUCAGUCACACUGGAACUGAGACACGGUCCAGACUCCUACGGGAGGCAGCAGUGGGGAAUAUUGCACAAUGGACGAAAGUCUGAUGCAGCAACGCCGCGUGGAGGAUGACACAUUUCGGUGCGUAAACUCCUUUUAUAUAGGAAGAUAAUGACGGUACUAUAUGAAUAAGCACCGGCUAACUCCGUGCCAGCCGCCGCGGUAAUAC